CAGCCGCCGCGGGAAUACGUAGGUGGCAAGCGUUGUCCGGAAUUAUUGGGCGUAAAGGGCUCGCAGGCGGUUUCUUAAGUCUGAUGUGAAAGCCCCCGGCUCAACCGGGGAGGGUCAUUGGAAACUGGGAAACUUGAGUGCAGAAGAGGAGAGUGGAACUCCACGUGUAGCGGUGAAAUGCGUAGAGAUGUGGAGGAACACCAGUGGCGAGGGCGACUCUCUGGUCUGUAACUGACGCUGAGGAGCGAAAGCGUGGGGAGCGAACAGGAUUAGAUACCCCAGUAGUCCCUGUCUCUUAUAC
rnacentral:rRNA from 1 species